rfam:Capronia epimyces CBS 606.96 aczIQ-supercont1.6, whole genome shotgun sequence.
GCAAUCGACCAUAGGAUCGAGAAAGAAGCACUUCCCGUCCGCUCAGUGGUACUUAAGCUCGAUGCCGGCCAGCUAGUAGUGACGUGGGAGACCAGUCAUGAAUCCUGACUGUUGAUUGUU